rnacentral:snoRNA from 7 species
UGCACAAGUGAUGAACAGUAAAGGGACUUAAUUCUGAAACCUGAUGUGGUACUGUGAUAUCUGAUGUGC